CCUACGGGUGGCAGCAGUGAGGAAUAUUGGUCAAUGGACGAGAGUCUGAACCAGCCAAGUAGCGUGAAGGAUGACUGCUCUAUGGGUUGUAAACUUCUUUUAUAUGGGAAUAAAGGGAUCCACGUGUGGGAAUUUGUAUGUACCAUAUGAAUAAGGAUCGGCUAACUCCGUGCCAGCAGCCGCGGUAAUACGGAGGAUCCGAGCGUUAUCCGGAUUUAUUGGGUUUAAAGGGAGCGUAGGUGGAUUGUUAAGUCAGUUGUGAAAGUUUGCGGCUCAACCGUAAAAUUGCAGUUGAAACUGGCAGUCUUGAGUGCGGUAGAGGUAGGCGGAAUGCGUGGUGUAGCGGUGAAAUGCUUAGAUAUCACGAAGAACUCCGAUUGCGAAGGCAGCUCACUGAGCUGCAACUGACACUGAGGCUCGAAAGUGUGGGUAUCAAACAGGAUUAGAUACCCUUGUAGUC
rnacentral:rRNA from 1 species